CUUCAGAGCCGUGGGUGAGGCUCAGAAGGCUACAGCAGCCCCAUUGCAACCAAAUAUUAUCUCCUGAAUGUUCAGGAAACACCAGUAGUAAAAAGAAUAAUAAACUAAAGAAGUGUACAAGUAGUUGGAGUGACAUAUUUUGGGCUCUACCCAGUUCUUGAGUGGUGUUGUGUGAGACUUUUUGCCUCCAAGAUAUUCCUAUUGGUUUGGGAUGUGGGAGUUCUGUGCUCUUCUGGAGAGUAAGCUGGAAACCAGGAGGGGAUAUCAAGUGGCUCUAAAAGGUUGUGUUUAUACAACAGAAUGGAAUAUAAUUCUCAAGAUUAGCUGAGGGCAUUUGUAGGUGAGAAGCUACUAAGUAAUGGCCCUGACCUGUGAGUGUCACCUUCUUUCCUACCCUGCUUGAAGACAACUGGAAAUUAAAAUUACUGCUGAGAAUAGUUCUGUGAAUAUUUGUGAAAUUCUACUUUUGACAUGAAGUAUCAGCACACACCGACUGGAGCUCUCCCCUUCAGGGACUUCUGACACUCCCAGAUGAAGUACAAGGAAAGGACUUCACACACCUGAAGUACAAGAAAAGGACCUUUUCCUACAUUUUAGAAUCAAGAAAUAGCUUUAAGAAGGUGCACGGAUACUCCUCUCAAGAAUUGUUUUCUAUAAUGUUGUUGAUAUUUGUGGAAGCUGCUAAAGAUGGAAAAGUGCAUCUGGUCACUUGGGAAGGCACAACACUGCACAACUGUUCCUCCUACAGCGGCUGGGGCGCUGCCCCAGGAUGCAGUUUCAAAGCUGGCGUUGGAUAAGUGGUCCUGCAGGGAGGUGGUGGGUUUGCUCAGGCAGGUCACACAGCUCACAAAUAUCUGUGCAGAUGCACACAUAUGAGCUUUCCAAGACAUGCAAAUCUCUGCCAUUCUUCUGCGGUAUCACCACUGCCAGACAAGUCAACUGCAAUGCAAAGCCAAGGAGCAGGACUCAGGAAACCCCCCUGCUUUCAUGUUUGGUGAGAAUUUCAAAGUUUGUCUCUUGUAGUGUUAUUUUUUCCUGCUGAUAGUAGGAAGAGGAGCAAAUGCUGCGCGAUAUUGUGUUCUCGAAUCCUUGGCAGGGAUUUUGGGACCACAUCUCUUCUCUGCUUCUUAAAGGCUUUCCCUGGGAGAAGUUGUGGGACGCAGUGGAAUUUCUUUCUUCUUUGUAUCUGUGUUGGCUAAAGCAGGACAGAGGAGCUUGAAAAGGCUCGCCCUCCUCAAGGAACGCUAUCUGAUUCGUAAGCAUUCCUAGAGGUUAAGGCUGGUGACUAUCAAGAAAGCAAAUACUUCACGCAAGGGUAAGUCCUCUAAUUGUGUUUGUGUUGAAUAACUGCCAGAUCCCCAUGUCAGGAUGUCUGCAGUCACGGCUCUGAUCUCACCAUUCCUUCCUCGGCUGUUGCACAAUUGUGUUGCAUGUUUGUGGUAUGGGAGAAAGUUGGAGAGCUGGGCUAUGAAACCAUCUCAGGGAAGGAAGCCAUGUUUUAUUUUAGUUGCUUGGUUUGGAUAAAAGCCUGUAGGAGAUGGAAUAACAUAAAAAAAUCCCCAUAAUGCGGCCCAUUCAUGGAAAAUAAACCUGGUUUUCUCUACAGAUAUGUGAAAUAUGAUGUUUGAUAGCCAGGUUGGGAAAGGAAAUGUCAAUAAAAAUGUGUUUGCUAGUGUAGUGGAAGUCCUCACGUACAUAUGUGUGAAGUUAUUACUUGUUCUACCUGGACUCUCACCUGUGAUUGCAAGGUCUGUUGGGUCAGGCUUGUAAAUCCAAUAAGGGAACUUUUGAAAAACUGGUUAUGAAUCUGCUCCUCUGAUGGAUCACUUCAAGGAUCUGUUGUGGCAGGGAAGUAAGACAAAGCAGUGACAAAUAACAGGUUACAAGAGAGGAAAGAAACCCAAAGAUACUGCAAUGAGCUUAGCAGGGGAGAGGGAAGGCAAGAACAUCAUAAUUCCGUCCAGCCACAGCAGAAGAUCAGAACAAGCAAGGAUUGAAAGCCACUCAGGUUACACAAAUAUUCAAUCCUGAAAGAAGACAGCAGUUGCCUUAGCCACAGAAAUGUUGAUUAAAAGUAAUAUCCUGAUCGGUCUCAGUACCAUAAAUCUCUCCUAGAUGAUAAAGCUGUACAUUAUCCCUGUUUGCUUAGAACAAAGCAAAUGUCACAGAGGUCUAAUUUUAAUACAGAAAAAUAGUAAUAGCUUGAGUUAAUCUAUGACCAUCAUGUUGUCUCACAUAAUAAAAUCUGGUGAGCUGGUAGCAGUGCUCCAGGAGGAUGUCAGUUCCACUUCCUAAACCAGGAAGGGGAGAAUUAUCCAGAGCAAUAAAGAGCUUGUACAAAUAAUACAAGGGAAAUCAGAAGUUAAUCUGAAUACCAACUCACUCAAUCUAAUCAGUACGAACAGCUCUCUGCCAACUGCUCCAUUACCUGAAACAGGGGUCAAUUGAUAAACAUCAGCCAGUCCUCUCAUUAAAAAAACACAGCUAACAACCCCCCUUCAUCUCCAGAUCUCAAAUUCCAUCGUUCCUGAUAAGCACUAACCAGUUCCUCAUCUCUCAUUUGCAGUUCAUAUCCUGAGCUACACAGAUUUGCUGUUAGAGAUAAGGAUAUGAGAAAGCAAAGCCAUAUUAAUACACAUGUUGCAACCUGUGAGCCUCUCCGGGGCUGCAGUGCCUGGCGCUGGAAAUAGGGGUGGUCAGUGAGUCUGCACUGGGAUUUGUGAUCUGGCCACACCCUGGUUGUUUGGCAACCUCAGCCCUGAUGAACACAGUCAAGGAAAGCACUGUGAGCCACCUGGGUGGGGAAACAGAUGACUGGCAAAAGAGGGAGCAAGUGAGGAAGAAUGGGAGCGAGAAUGACCUGCUGUGUGUCUGGGAGCUGAAAGGGGGAAGAAGGACAGGGAGCUUUAAUCCCAAAUUUAUGAAAGAUGUCACCCAGCUGCCAUCACACCAUGCAAACUGCUUUUGGAUUCUCAUCCCACACUCACCACUGUUAGAUAUUUGUCAGAGCUAAAAGCAAACCAACAUUUUCUGCCUUUGCCUUUCAGUAUGGGUGGAGUUUCAGUGUCCUAAAAACCAGGUAACACCAAUCAGUGUUGGCAUUCAGAUGGCAGCCAGUAAAAGGUGGUUCCUGAAUCAGUGUUCUGGGGUUUGAGUCAAACAUUCCACUUCAGCCAUUUAUCCGCUGUUUUUCUAAAUUUUUGGAAAGGUACAGAACUUGUCUUGUUUUUGCUUUUCUUGGUAGCUGAGGGAAAUAAGGGUUGAGUCAGCUGCACCACAAUGCAGAAUUCUUCUUUACAACAGGUUAGAGGCUUCCCAGAGAAAAUCGCUCUUUUCCGUUCUGCAGACUUUGGUUCUUCAUGUGUUUUAGAUUUGCAGAUAAACUAGUCAAAACUAAUCAAAAGCAAAACAGAACACAACCAAUAUAAAAUCCCCCAACAGACUUUUUAAAGGUCACUGACUCAACUAUAUUUAGUUUUAAUAUUUUUUUAAUUUCAGAGUGUGGGAAAUAAGCAGGGGUUAUUUCCUCCAGCAAACCAGGGUUUUCUUAGCCUCUUUUUUUGACUUCAGAUUUAGCUGAAGUCAAAUAUUAUGACCUGUAAUAAUCUGAGAACAAUAUGUCGUGUUUACACUCAAAUUGCUAUUCACUGUCACUUUACUUGCUAAAGGAAAAAAUAAAGCCUUUUUCAGCGAGCCACCAGUAAAUUAAAUUUAAAUCAGUGCUAUGAUUAAGGUCUUGGGGAGAAGCUGCCUGUAGCAGCUUAUAUAUGCUCAUAUUUGUGGAAAGUCUACCCUCAAAUCAGAAAUAAGUCAAAAUUAUUUCAGUGAUAUGUUUUCCUUUUGAAAAAAUUUCACUUUUGUCAAAGUGAUUAAUAUAGAGAAGCCUAUAAAAUGGAUUUAUUUAGAUCAUUAUUUGUGGAAAAUAGAUGUACUCUUUCACAUUAUGUUUCUCUGUGAGUUAUCCCCCAUUUGUCUUUCCAAGGACAUGUACUCCCUUCCACUAUUUACUUUUAAUUUCAAAGGAGAAAAAUAAUGGAAUGAGAGGUUUUGGAUUAUUAUUUAAUUUGAAAUGCCUAAACAAUAAUGAAAUAAAAUAUCCUAUGCAUCCUUUAAAAGCCAGACACUUGCUAUUGAAGGAGAAAUAAUUCCCCCCCAGGCCCUGUUCCACCCCAAAAAAGAAGAGAAAGAAAAAGAGAACAGGUGCAGUUAAUGGGCCAGACUAAAGUAUCAUGGGAGAUUUUUAAAGCCACAGAUGAAUUUAGCUGCACCACUUCCGAGGAAAAUAAAUGAGUGCUGUUUACUUGGGUUUUCUGCAGUUUAAAAUUAUCCUCUCCAAUGUAGGCUUUGGGGGAAAGUCCACUUGAAAUAAUUGUAGACAUUUGGAAUUGACAUGUCAGCACCACCUCAUAUGACAGGGACGAAUGCCACUCAUUCAUACAUGGAUUUUCCACAGACAACCAGAACAGCAGAGAUUAUUGCCAAGCAUUGCCAGUGAAAAGCAGGAACAGCCUUGCCUUAUGAUUCCACUUUCUAUUUUGCUACUUUUUCAAAAUUGUCUCAGUGGGGAACAAAGUCUGGGCAUUUGUCUCAGGCAGGCAACUUUAUGGCUUCUUUUCCUGUGGUUUUAGCUGAACCUUUCCUCCUACCUACAUUCCCUGUUGUAUUUGUUUAUCCUAAAUUGUCCUGGAAAAUGAUGAGUUUAUGAAAAUGUAGCAUGUGUCUUGAUUCUAUGAAAUUAAUAAAUUAUUAAUUAAGAAGUCUUUCAAUCCCACAUACUCAAAAAUAUACAUGCACUUAGACACAUAUGUUGAAUUUAUUAAAAAACAGCUUUAAGGAACUUUGGAAUGAUACAAAAAUUAGACAAAAUGGUACAUUUAAUACACCAUCUGCUUUACUAAUGGGUAGCUUACUCAUCUCUGGGUCUACAUCACACUUUGAUGAUCCAAACACACACCCAAUUAAUUUAAAUGGAUUUUAUCUGUGAUCUUAUUUUAAAAUCUUUGUUCUUUGCAAGGUCUACUAUUUUGUGAAGUCACUGUGGAAACACAGUGAAAACUGUUUAUUGAAGUGCUAAUGGCUUAUCCUAAUUUCCAUAAGGAAGCUUUUUUCCUUCAUGCAUUCUAACUUUAGUUGACCAUCAUGUUGUUUUAUAUUCAGUAUUUAAAAAUUGUUUUUGUAAAGUGGCUGAGUAGUCAAAAAUGCAAAUUAUCUUUCUUGUACCAUUUUUUCCUUAUUUUUAUUUUUCAUGAAAUACCUUUCAUAUUUUCUUCCUUAUGUUGACCCACUGCAGGUAAAUUCAAAGCAAGAACCAUGUUAUUUCUUUUGUUCCAAUGACUCACUUCAGUUAAGAACAAAUUCUUUUGUUUAAGUUGCUCCUUCUAAGAUAAUAUCAUACACUGCAUUCCAACAUAUUUAAUCUUUUAAUUCAAAAUCAUAGAAAAAAAAAGAAUGAUUGAAAAUAACCUAUAGGUAAUGGAGCAAGCUACUGUAGAAUCCUCCUCAGGUCUGGAUUCAUCUGUCUGUUUUUCUACAGAUUGGGGGGAUUUUUUUUUUUUUGUAUUUUUUAAGACAGUUUUCAAUGCUUGAACAAAUCCCUUUUUCUUCCCUUUGGUAAUGUGGUUAACUGUCUGGAAUGUGAGCCACUGGAAAUUCUUCCCCACAGAAGAAUCUCCAUUAAGCUUUCAAACAGAGUUACUUCAUCCCCACAGCUGCAUGGAUAGAAGGCUUUCUAGUGCCUAAAUACUUAGUGUAUAUGUCAUCCUUAAGUUUUUUUUUUUCCCCUGCCAGAGCUUUGGGAGCAGGUGCUAGCCUUUUGCUUCCUUUCUGCUUCCUCUGUGGGGAACAGGCUGGAAAGAGCCAACUAAUUAGAAAAUUCUACAGGGAAAUUAAUUCUGCAAACAGCUGAGGAAUGGCAUUUUAGUAUAAUGCUCACUUUGUCUGUCAGCAGGGCACUGGUUGGCUUCACAAGUGGCAGCUCUCCCAGAUGUUAAACAUGUUGUGAUGAGACCAGAACUGCAUCAUAUGUUGCCCGUUUACUAAAAGUCGUGGUGCUCUGGAGGAGUAAAUACAUUAAAACCAACCUCUGGGACGUGCUGUGUUGUGUCACAAGGCAGCAGCAUGGCUUUUUUUACAUAUUCUUGAAGUGUAGCAAUGAACCAAAUCAUUUUUAGCCAGCUUAGUUCCGAUUGCUGCCUUUGCUUUCAUGUAGGGCUGGGGGCAUGGAGAGGGAGGGGGAGAGGAGCCUCACUAAACCACUCUGUGUGAAGGCCUGCGUUGUCAAAGCCUGCUGUACACUUCAAAAAAUGUGUGCAGCUCUGUGACAUGUCUGAGCAAACCCCUCACUUACCCAGCUGGCUGCUCACGUGCACGUGGGGAGAGUCGGAUCUGCAUCCGCAGGCUUCCUGCUUGCGACAGAAAAAUGCAGGCAGGGUCCUCUAAAGGAGCCUAUUCUGAGAUGUUCAUGGAAACAGCACUUAGUGAAGAUGAUGACAGACUACUCAUGUCCCAGAGACCUCACCAGUACCUGCUUUGGUCACCUUAAGUAUUUCUUACUUGUGGGCCAAACCCCAGCCACUUGCAUUACCUUAUGUGAUGUGCCUGGUUCUCAGCUCGCUUCUUGUGACAGACCUCUGUGACCCUCAAGCCCAGUGCUCUUCCCAGCCACAUUCAUCUGUCCCUUCCACGGCUCCCAAGUUUCUCUCCAGCUAACCCUCAGGAGCAGAACUCUCAUGCACACUGCUCCCAGAUUGACGUGGCAUCCCUUCCAUGAGUUGCCAGGAGGUGGCCCAGGGCUCUGUUUUAGCAUUCAGUCAUGCACAAGUGGCCCUCACACUCCAGAUGUCUGGGAAUUUGCCCUGGAUUUAACAUUGGAAGAGUGACUUCUGAGUUCCCAUUGAGUCAUACAGAACUGUUUUCUUAUCUUUUCGGUCUCAACUUGAUGUUGAAGCUUGGAGUGCUCUAAACACCACUUUGUGGUGGUUCAUUUUUCAGGUGUCUUAUCCUGCCUCAGUGGCUCUUGUAUACUCUUGAGCUCUCUUUUAUACUCUAUCUGUGUCAUAAAUAUUUAAAUGCUUUUCCUUCCUCCGUCUCCCAAGAACAAAUUUGUCUUAUCUAAGAAUAUAAAAAAUAUGCAAUUCCCAUGGAGAUAUGUCAUUUUUCUGCAGGUGAAGACUUUCCAAUGCAUUUUUAUUUGUCUUAUAUUUGACUGACUGUAGCAGGACUAGAUUUUUCUUUCUUUUUUUAAAUUUUAUUUUAAAUUUCCAUUGUCAUGUGCUUCACAAAUGCAGUAUAAUAAUCAUUCCAUAUUCUGUCUCAAUCAAAAAUCUCAUCACUCCUUAUUUUCUUAUCAGUCUGUUCUCUCUGGCAUAAUUACAUUGCUUGAUAUGUUGCACAGUGUUGGCUUCAAGGAUUGUUUUUAGUGGUAAAAUAUCCAUAUCCUAUUACCAGUGCAGUGUUAACGUGUAGAUGUUUUUUGAGUAUUAUUUGCUUAUAAACUUUAUUUAAAUAGAACCUUGAAAUUUUGGCCAUACUCAUGUUGAUGUGUGAUCAUCUUCCAACAUAAAGCACCAACUAAAGGGCUUUGACUUAGAGUCAUUUUCACAGAUGAAGAUCAUGCUUGCAGAAGAAAAUAAUAGCAUUCCAUCUUUGUCUUUAAUAAAAAUCAAGCUAGUUUCUAUAUUUUCUAAAUUUACUUCACCUGUUAACAAUUAAAGUUUUCCUAAUGAGAUUUAAUUGCUUGAGAAACCAUUGAAAUUAAAUCCCAACUAAAUAUUAACAUCUUCCCCUCAUCUAAUUGACAAUUUGAAAACAUGCUUUGCAUUUUUAAUUGCUUUCUAUAGAUGUGUACAUUAAUAAAUUGGAAGGACUAAAAAGCAUCUAUCUCCAAAAGAGAGGUGCAUGGACUUUUGGAUGUGAGCAGCUGGAAUCUAAAGUCUCUUUGCUCUAAUGUCACACAUAGAAGAUUUAUUCUGCAGUCACAUUUUCUGAAUUAAUUGAAUUUUUAAUUUUGUGGUCCUAAAUGCAUCACUGCCUGGCAGUUUUCCAAAGUGCAUUGUGGUAUAAUGAUGCCUGCAUUAUGGAAGUUUGUCAAAUGGUCUGUGCUUAACAUGGGGACCUGUCUGCACUUAAAACAAGAAUCAAAUAAAAUUAUUAAAUAUUAUUAUCGCAUAUUCUUCCCAGAAUUACAUUUUUUAUUAGGGUGUGCUUAAUGAUUGCAGGAAUGUUGGCAGCUGAAAUUUCUAAAGUGGUUGUCAAAUAGGAAAUAAAAUGGAAAAUGGGAAAUUCAUUGCGGGUCAAGAUAGAUUGCCUUUAUAUUCCACCUAGAUAAAAGUUCUUAGUGAUUUAAUUUUCUGUUUAUUGUCAUCCAGAUGUUUAAAGUACUGACCCAGCUGGUGUGGAAAUUUCAUUUUUUCCAACUUAUGAUAAUGAAUUGAAUCAUAAAAAACAAUCAUAAAACAUCUCCAUAUUGCAUCUGUGGAGAUUCACUAGGAUGAUUUACACUAAAUGGAUUUUUACGUGGAAUGGAUUUCUUUUCCAAAGUUCAACGAGAGUCAAGACUACAUCCGUACGUGUUUAGGAGCCAAAAAUUGUAAGUAAAGGAGAAAACACAUCUGUGUGUGGAAGUUCUUGAAUAAUUGCACUGUUUGUUUAAUGAUAUAGCUGAUGUUAUGAGUGCUCCUGGAGAGUACAGCAGAGCUGGAGCAGCAGGGAUAAAGAUGUUUUCCUUCAGGGUAACGUGAAAUGCUUUGUUUUGUCGUAGUGUGUUCAAGAGGACUGCAUUUCCAUUUUGGCUUCAAGAGAUCUCCCCUUUUAAAAAUUGAAAUUCUCUUUCAAAAAAGUAAUGCUGGUUUAAGAAAUUAAAACUUUUAUUUAUUUACCGAUUUACAUUUCAAAGCAAAGUAGUUCACUCACCCAUUUUGGGAACAAAGAUACUGAAGCUGAUUGGAGUUUGAAAAGGGUUUUAGUAAAUCCAAGAUUUCAUUUUUUCAGUCAAUUUUGUAUUCAUCAAGAAAUUUCAUUCAUCUCUAACGAUAAUGUUUUGGUUUGCAAGUUUGUUGGUUUUUUUAAUGUGUGUUUACCACCCAUAUUGCUAGAAUUAAUAAAUAAACACAAAUUGAUUUAUGGCUUGUUUUGCUUGGACAAGUUUACAAAUAGAAAUGUUGUAGAGGAUUUAAUUAAAUUCUUUCUUUCCUCCAAGGAUGCCACUAUCCAAAACAAAUUGAUGAUUUUGUUCAGAAAUUGUGCUCACACUCUGUAGUAUAAUGGAUACUCUUGAGAUAAACUGACAUCUGGGGUAGAUCUUCAUAAGAACAGUUUCCAAAGUUCAGAAAGGAAACUUUUAAACUUUCAAGCUGUCCUUAAGUUUUAAUAUAUGCCUGGCUUGGUAUUGCAUUUCAGUAUUUACAUAAAUUCUGUAUUUUGCAUAACAGAUGCAACUCAGCAGAUUGUAAACCUUUUCUUGAUACAUUUUGGCAGCAGCUGCAGGUCACAUCCCUUGUUGAAUUUCUAGAUUGUUCACCGAGGUCAACAUUCAACGUGCAUUUUUUCUACUACACUUUAAAGAUUUUCCUCUCUCUGCUCUGGAAAUGCAGGUGUUAUUCUUUUCUCUGAAAUCCCACGAAAUUGUUAUUUGUAGGCAUGGCAUUGAGAGGAAGGAGAAAUAAGGAGACAAUGGGAGUGAGUCAAUAUUUUGUUGUAGUGACACUCUGGUGUUAUUCCAGCCAGUCAGUUUUACGCCAUAGCUGCUGACUGCAGUGCUAUCCAUGGCAGAUGCUCAGAAAUGAAAGGCUACAUCUUUUUUUUGCUGCUGGUUAAUGUGAUGUAGCACAGAUGAGAAACCAGGCAGAUAUUUACACCAACUUUGUCCUCUGACCAAAGAAUCUGACAGUUUAAAGCUGUUCCACCUCUCCCAAAGGCCAGGUGUGUGUAGGGUGGGCCUGUGUUCAUCCUAUUUAUAAAUAGUAUCCAGAAACACAGGAACCAAACUGUGCUGAGGAUUCAUCUAAGGAUGUUAUUUAAACACCUGCAUUUGGUGGCCAGAAAACCACUCUGUUAAACUCACCUGAGGGCCUGCUGCCUCCAAAAGAGAAAUGUGUUAGGGUGGCUAAGGGUACCAGCUCACGUCCCUCAUGACUGAAAGAAAAAAAAAUAAUGGCAUAUGAAUAAAAAAACAGAGAUUUCCAGAAAAGACCUUGAUAUUUUGGUCAUAAUGCAAUAAAUAUUUUUUUACACACAAAUUGGAUACAUUAGGCCAGUACUGGCUGCUUCUGGAAUCCCACCCUUAACACCAGCUUUCUGAAGUGCCAACAUGCUUGCCUUCUUUCCAAUGCUGAAAAAAAUUCUCUGAAAUCUCUGCCCCUCAGCCCAAAACAGAAGAAAAGAGGUUAGGUUGUGGUUUUUUAUUUGAUUGUUUGGGAAUUUUUUUGGUAGGUCAUCUAGAGAAAAAAAUCAAGCGGAAAUUAGAUGAACAUAAAAUUAUUUUUGACACAUUUGGCAAAUUGUAGUGUUUUUAAGAAGUCUGUUCAUGAACCCUGUUGUGUAAGCAGCCACUUGCUCAGUUUGAGUAAAAGGAUUUCUUGCCAGAAAGCAGAAAGAAAUCGCCAGCUGGGGAUUCAGCCUUUCCACUCAUAUUUUCUUUGCCUGUGACUCCCAAAGUGUUUGGUGAAAAUGGCAAUGUUGUUGUACUUUUACAACCAAAGCACAGGAGAUGAAAGUGAAGAUAUGAAAACACAAGUGCUUGAAAAGUUACAUUCCUGGAAAAGAGAGACACAGAGGAGCUGACAGAGAAAGCUGAUGCUCAGGAGUACACUAAGAACCUUCAGUGGGUUGGUAUUUAUGGAAAACAAAGCACUUUUUUAGGAGUCUAAAUUACACACUAAGCAACGGCCCCAAACUUUUAUUACAUUCUAGGAAAAGAGCAGGAAAAAGAACAUAAAAUACUCAAAGUUAUCUGUACUAAAUAUUAGACUGGAUAUUAUAUCCUGUCUUUAUGUUGUGGAAAAAACCCGAAUGGUCUGAAUUACUAUCAUUUCUUAAAAACUAAAAACACAAUCUGGGAAGAAGUUUUUAUGCUGGGCUGCUUUUUAGCUGUGUUAUUUCUGAGGAAUUAAAAAGAGCUGAAAAUCUCAUAUUUUGCACUGCAUAAUCAAUGGUUCAAUGACUGACCAAAUACCCAUCAUUCGGUUCCAUUCAUAAGAUUAUGCCAUACACAGUCAGGUGGCAUUUUUCCAGAAGCUGACAUGUCCUUUCAUUGCUAAAAACCUUGGUUUGGAAUGGAAUGGAGUCAAGUACAGGAAGGAAAUGAUUAUGGAAACUGUAAGAAUUUGAGACCUCAGCUAUCUUCAGACACAGCAAAACAUUUCCUCCCGUUAUCGGCAGGUAUGUAAUUACUGCUCAGACAAACAUGCCAAGAAAUAUUUCAAGAAGGUAUUUGGCUUCCAGAAGCUGAUUCUGCCAUCAGAGUGCUUGUCAGACAUAAGCAGAGCAUCACGCUGGCAUAUUUUUUCUUAUAUGAAGAGAAGUAAAAAGUGUAAAUAUUUAGAGCUUGGGCUUUUACUGCCUUUUUCAAAGGAUCCUACUGAAUGUCUUUGCACCCUCAAAAUAUAUAUAUAUUUUUAAAAGAAAGAUAAGCUCCAAAGAAGACUGUUAAAAUAUUUUUUUCAUUUAAAUGGCCAUCACAUUUGCCAUUUUUUCAUUUAAAUAUCCAUCACAAUUUAAAUGGAUAAGAUUGUGGUGGAUACACCUGAUUACAUUAUCACAAUCUAGGAAUUUUGAGAUCAGCUCAGGUGCCAGAAAAAUGCAAGCAACUCACACGUUAAAAUAAUUUUCAAGUACAUCAUGUGAAAGGCAAUUGGAAGCACAGAUGUGAUGCUGAGGCGCAGAAUUUUCCAAGUUAUUUGGAGAAAAAUUUAAGUGUGGAGCUGAUUGUGUUUAACCUUCACACAGUAACAGUGUUUCUUUCAGCUGGAAAUUAUGUAGUCAAGCAUCAAACAUAUGCAUAUCUAAAACAUAUUCUAGACUUUGAGCCACUUCAAAUACAGCCAUUUUCAAAUAAGAUUUUGAAUUUUGUCCUAUAUAACAAGUCAUUCCUGUUCUCUUAAAAUAAUAUAUUGUAUACAAGAAUAUCCAAAUAUCAACAGUAUUCUUUUGCUGGAGUGACAGAACAAACAGAUAUAAGUAAAAAUGUAGAGUAUUUACUGCAUAUAUAAAUGCAGUAAAUACAACAACAUUUCUUCUUUUCUGAAGAAGAAAAGAAAGAAAGAAGAAAAUAUGUUGGGUGUGGAUAAUAGUUAUUUAACUAUGUUUUCAGUGGAACCACCUCUUUCCUGAGUUGUUAUUUGUACCUGCAUCCUCUUAAAUUAAAAUGACCUUCAAGAAUAUUAACUGAGAGCCAUUUUUAAUUAAUUACAAUUUGAUCAGUUAAUGUUGGAGGACAUCAGCUCUAUAUGGAAGUAAUGCAGAGCUAAAUCUCCAGAGAAUUUCUGGCUAGCACCACCCAUCACUUACAGGCACCCUGCCAGCCAGCAGGAGGUUUUUCUCUAAGAUUAGGCACAUCUCUUCCUUAAUAAAUGGAGGGGAAGAGCUAAAUCAGCUCAAAGUAAUGUCACUGGAGAGCCUCAGGCUGAACUCUUCCAGGGAAGACCAGCAAGAUGUCAGCUGUAUCGCAGAGAGUGAGGCAUUUCACUCUAUUUAGGUUUCUCUGCUGUGAAGUAAACAUCUCUUAACUGGCUAAAGGAAAUCUCAGGCCUAUAUUCAGUCACCUGAGUGUGGACCUGAGAAGUGUUGGUAACUGAGAACCUGCCAGGAUUUCUGUAACAAUCCAGUAAAUCAGUGCAAUAAGUAUUCAAACACAGCCACAAAAAUAUGGAGACACAACAUCCAGCCAGAGACCUAUAAAUACAAUAUUUCUUCACGCAUACCAUGCAGUAAACUGUCUCACUAUAUAGGGCAAAAUAAAAUCAAAUACUUCUGCUGUUUCAGGUCUUAUUUUUGUAAGUAAAUCUUCACUUUAUCCAGUUUAAUAUUUUUAAGACAAUGAUCACGGAACCAUGACUUUUCAGCCCUACUGACAAAGCCUGGAAGUCACUGAGUAGGUCAUGCAGAUCUGUGUUUCCCUAAGGGCACAGACUGCUCAGUAAAUCUGUUGUUCUUCUCACUUAUGCAUUGAGCUUUAAAAAGUAAAAAAACACCCAAGAAACCCAACCCCUAGAAACAAGUAGCACUACUGCUCAGAGGAUGCUUGAGGGAGUUAUUCCAACUUGUUCUUUCUCCCACUUACCUUCUAUGGGAGGAAAUAUUUAUGGAGGAAACAAACUGAAAAAGAUCACAAAGAUCCUGCCCCACAGAUUUCCUGGUGUUAUUCUACAGCGGAAGAGGCAAAAAAUUCUUUACUCAAAUUCCUUUCCCCAUGGAGGGAAAAAUAUUGUCUUUUGUCAACAUUUUGUUUUGCUCAUUUGCCACAAUCUUCAAAAUUAUUCUAUGAAGAUACAAUUUUUUAAUCACAAACUGGUGUGUUCAAUAACGAAAAUGAUCCUUUGGGUAUGCAUUUGUAUUGUGCUGAAAUGUAUUGUUUGCUAAGUGACCUUAUCUAUAAUUCAGAGAGUAUUUGUGUGCUUUGGAAGAUCAUUUGGCAAAGUCUGUGAAAGGAAGUAAUUUAGUUUUUUGGCUGCAUUAAGGAUGAAAUUAAUUUAAGAUGAAUUAGAACUUCUAGAGAAGUGAUAUGAAAAGAACCCAACAGCCAAAGUUCUUGGCUUUGGAAGAGGUAAUUAGCCAGUACUGGAAGAGCCUUGAUGAACAUGCAGUUAGAUAUCCAUUAGUGGAUCUAGAGGGGCAAUUUGAGAAGGUAUUCUCAUUCCCUGGUGAAUGCUUGUAGCCUGUUUCAGUGACAAAAUAGAUUAAUUUAAAUUACUGCUUUAAAUUAUUCGGAGGCAGACUUCAUUUCAGUUUGAGUCACUCUCUCCUCCCUCUUGUUGCUCCACAGCCAUAAAAACCUAGAGAUGUUGAAACCAAAGUACCCAAGUGAAGGCAGAGCUCUAUUCUUAGGUUCCAGAAGGUUCAGGUUCCCAGCAUGAGCGUAGAGUCUGGCUGUUGAGAAAACACUGGCUGGUAAGUCUUUGCUAAGUGAAGAUACACUUCACAAGCAUUUGUUUCGAGUCAUUUUUGGAGUGGCGAUGAAUCUGUGCAAUUUUAUUUUCACCUCAACAGGACAUUGGAUGUUGCUAAGGUGUUUAAUGUAUGUAAUGUGAUACUCUGUGAUAAAAAGAAUGCAUUAGUGAACUGAGUGACAAAAAGAGCAUGUCUAAAAAUGAUCCUUAAGUAUAGGCCAAGAUCGUUUGCAUUUAUUUUAAUGAUAUCCAAAUGGUGUUCUAACUAAAGAUA